CGUACUCUCUUUUGAUAUUUCUAUCUUCACCAAACCCCUUGUCAAGCCAUUUCCCAUCAAUUUCCCAUUAUCAUAGGACUCCCAUUGGUCAAAUCCAUAUAACACAUUUGCCAAUUAGAGGGCAAGUUGUGAGUUUUCAAUCCUCUCAUUCUCUCAAAGCUUUCGUGUUGAUAAGGUAAUCAAUAUGAAGUUUGUUCUUAUGUUAUUUGUUCAUCAAAGAUUUCAUCCCCAAAAGUUGUGCGUAUUUUGUUGAUGUAGAGGUGCAUUUGAUAUGAAGGUGGCAAGAAAUAUAUGAUUAUUGAAUGUUACCCCCAAAUCCAAUACAUUUAUACAGAUAUCUCAUUCUCAUGUUUGUUAUUCUAACCUGAUCAAGAUUCUAGUUUCUUCCAUCAUUGAUCCUCGUCGGGAGAUUGACCGGCGUGACCGCAUUACUAAUUCUUAUACAUUUUUACGAUCAAAUCCUUUUUUAAGAAGCCACUGCAUAUUAUUUGGGAAACAAAUUUGGUGACAAUAGCAUCUGCAAAGAUGCAGGCUUUUAGUCGUUCUAUGCGGGGACAUUCGGUACAUGAGCCUCCCCCAUUAGCAGAGAAGCUCACCGAAGACCCCGUGACAUCGAAAACCGCACAAAGCACGGUGACAUGCGUCUACCUUGCCAACAUUGCAAUGAAUUGGCGGAAGGUCACGGUCAUUUGGUGCAAGAAUCUCAUGAACCAUUCCCUAAGCAUAAGGACUGAUAGUCUAGAAGGCGAUUUUCAUAUAACUUGCAAAAUCGACCUCAAGCCGUGGCAUUUUUGGAGCAAAAAAGGGUACAAGUCAUUCGAGGUUGAAGGGAAUCAUGUUGAAGUCUAUUGGGACCUUCGAUCUGCUAAAUUCGUAGGAGGUCCAGAACCGAAUCAGGACUUCUACGUUGCCCUUGUUUGCGAUGAGGAAGUUGUGUUACUCUUGGGAGACAUGAAGAAAAAGGCUUACAAGAGAACCAAAUCAAGGCCUUCAAUGGUUGAGGCCGUUAUGUACUACAAAAAAGAAAACGUGUUUGCCAAGAAAAGCUUUGCCACUAGGGUGAGAUUCGACGAAAAGAGGAAAGAGCAUGACAUUGUAGUGGAGAGCUCAACUUCCGGGCUCAAAGACCCCGAAAUGUGGAUCAGCAUAGACGGGAUUGUGUUGGUUCAUGUCAAGAAUUUGCAAUGGAAAUUCAGAGGGAACCAGACUGUGAUGGUGAACAUGUUACCUGUCCAGGUUUUUUGGGAUGUUCAUGAUUGGCUUUUCAGUAAUCCAGGAACAGGACAUGGUCUGUUUAUUUUCAAGCCCGGGGCACCUGAUUCGGAGAGCGAUUACGACAGAGAAGGAGGCGAGUUCUGUGGAGACAGUGACAAUAGCAUUAGCAGUGCCUAUUAUUCAACUCAGAGUCUUAACACAACAGCUUCUGACUUCUGCUUGUUUCUUCAUGCUUAUAAGCUUGAAUGAGGGGGCUAGCUUCUUGCAUAUGAUGCAUUCUCACAGGGUUUUUUUUUGGAAUAGCUAGCAACAAUAAGAUAUCAUACAAUGGGUUUAACGAUCUUGUAAAUUGUUGCUGAAUAGCCUUUGUUGGGGAAGCUAUUGGAGAAUUGAUGCUGGGGAAUGUGUCUAUGAAUGCAGGAAAAGAAAUUAAGCUUUGCAGCUGCAGUGAGCAAGCUGCAACAAAUUCAACGUACCUUGAAUCUUAACCUGUUUUGACUUUUGAUGGUACCCCCUUUCAGUAAACAUUCAAGCUAAAUUGCAAGUCUCGUCUUUUUCUAGUAUUCCCAUAUCAAGUUAGGGA